rnacentral:rRNA from 1 species
GACGAACGCUGGCGGCGUGCCUAAUACAUGCAAGUCGAGCGCAGGAAGCCGUCUGAACUCUUCGGGGGGACGACGGUGGAAUGAGCGGCGGACGGGUGAGUAACACGUAAAGAACCUGCCCAUAGGUCUGGGAUAACCACGAGAAAUCGGGGCUAAUACCGGAUGUGUCAUCGGACCGCAUGGUCCGCUGAUGAAAGGCGCUCCGGCGUCGCCCAUGGAUGGCUUUGCGGUGCAUUAGCUAGUUGGGGGGGUAACGGCCCACCAAGGCGACGAGGCGUAGCCGACCUGAGAGGGGGGUCGGCCACACUGGGACUGAGACACGGCCCAGACUCCUACGGGAGGCAGCAGUAGGGAAUCUUCCACAAUGGACGAAAGUCUGAUGGAGCAACGCCGCGUGAACGAUGAAGGCUUUCGGGUCGUAAAGUGCUGUUGUAAGGGAAGAACAAGUGCCGCAGGCAAUGGCGGCACCUUGACGGUACCUUGCGAGAAAGCCACGGCUAACUACGUGCCAGCCGCCGCCGUAA